rnacentral:rRNA from 1 species
CACGUAGGGGGCAAGCGUUGUCCGGAUUUAUUGGGCGUAAAGAGCUCUUAGGUGGUUCGGUAAGUCGGGUGUGAAAACUCUGGGCUCAACUCAGAGACGCCACCCGAUACUGCUGUGACUCGAGUCUGGUAGGGGAGUGUGGAAUUCCCAGUGUAGCGGUGAAAUGCGCAGAUAUUGGGAGGAACACCAGUGGCGAAGGCGGCACUCUGGGCCAGUACUGACACUGAGGAGCGAAAGCGUGGGUAGCGAACAGG